GAGGGUGUAGCUCAGUGGCAGAGCGCAUGCUUAGCACGCAAGAGGUCCGGGGUUCAAUCCCAGUACCGCCA
rnacentral:tRNA from 1 species